UCAUGACUAGACUUGUCUUUACACAGACACACUUGCUUUGAUCCCAAAGUCUCAUUUCAGUGAAUCUACAAAAUCCUCUGAGAAUUAUAUAUUAAUGUGUUUUACUGAUGUCUAUUAUUGCAAAAGGCAAGCUGUCAAGAAAGCGCUUGCAUUUCUAACUGUUCUCAUGCAUAUCUGAAAUAAAACAUGCAUGCUUUUUAAAGAAACCCAUGAGAACAGAUAGUAAAAAUAAUUUUUUUAGUUUUCAGGAGAACACCGUCUCUCAGACGUAAAUGGAGAUAGCACUACAGAGGCCUGGACGGCAACAAACUGCUGGAGCCAAAUAAGGAGGACGACAAAAGAGAGAAUGGAGAGAUGACAGAUGCCCUCACCAACAGGAACGCAGUACAAGUUUACUGCGUCUAAGGAAACAAAAGCUGCAGGGAACAUUCCACAACCUGUGCCAAAACAUACCUAUCCAUCCCAGAGGCCAGUCAAUUACGUCUCUCCAGGCUCUACAGGCAUGCCAUCUUUUAUAAGCAAUGGAGGCACAAUACGGACAGUACCAGAACAGAACAAACUUAAUGCCAGCCAAGCAUGCCAACACUUGGGCCGACCAGAGAUGCAUCAAGGUCAUUUUAAGAAAAAAGUGUGAGUCUCAAAUGCACAAGGCAUCAUUUGCUUAACAUGCUUCAUGAGCUACUAGCCACAUGUAUACUAAAAAACAACACAUUGUAUUUUAAAAGGGCUACUGAUGUGCUCUUUGAUAGUUUUGCCUCUGGGGGAAGAGGUGCAACUGCAGUCAGUUUUUUGAGGUACAUAAAAAGCAUCUUUAAAUCAAUAGUUCACCUGAUGAUGUAGAUGAGUUUGUUUCUUCAUCAGAAAAGAUUUGGAGAAAUUUAGCAUUACAUCACUUGCUCACCAAUGGAUCCUCAAAUGGGUGCCAUCAGAAUGAGAAUCCAAACAGCUGAUAAAAACAUCAGUAUUCCACAAGUAAUUCACACAACUUCAGUCCAUCAGUUAAUGACUUUUCAUUUCACAAGACUUUAAUUUAUGCACUAGAGUGUGGAUUGUUGUGAUGUUUUUAUAUCAACUGUUUGAACUGAUUCUGGCGGCACCCAUUCACUACAGAGGAUCCAUUGGUGAGCAAGUGAUGUAAUGCUAAAUUUCUCCAAAUCUGUUCCAAAUCUGCUCCAAAUUUCUCCAAAUCUGAAGAAACGAAAUCAUCAACAUCUUUGAUGGCCUGAGGGUGAGUACAUUUUCAGCAGUUUUUCCUUUUUGGGUGAACUAUUGCUUUAAUAUGGGCUAAUAUUCAAUAGUGCAGGAUGUUAUAUCUGUCUGUAUUUCGGCAGGCCCUGUGGAGCUCAGGAAUCAUCCGAACAGGCCCACGGAUUAAAGACCGCUACAGCCUGAUGUGGAAAUUGCAGGAAGCAGAUGGAACUGUUGACAGGAGCACUUUUCACAGGCCAGACUGAAUCUUGACACCAAUAGUCAAAUUUAAAGCAUCUUAAACAUAAAUACUAAACACCCCUAAUCUUUAAUGCUGCUAAUAUGCUUCAUUUGUGAACGUCUUGCAGGUGCAUGACUGGCUUUGUGUCUUUCAUCCUGAAGGCAUUGCAGGGAAGAUUUGUCAUUCCAGAUUUCUCUACUUUCACAGAGGAAACACAAAAGCUGUUUAUUAAAUGCAAACAACUCUCCUCUGUGAAGGUGCGUCAAAUCUGUUUCCGCUGAUGUUGUUGUUCUUCUUUUUAUAUAACAGUCUAUUGAAAAAGACGUGCAAAGAAGCCUUAAAGUAGCACAGGUUAUUUUCUAAUUGAUUAUUUCUUGAAAAAUAUCACAACGUGACUCAUAUCCUGUGCAUUUCUAAAGAGGAGAAAGAAGACGUAAGUGAGGGUGGCACGCAAUGGGGCAUUUCAGUUUGUACCGUGGAUGGACAGAGGUGCCACACAACAGUCCAAAUUAAAUGAUUUGAUAAGAGGUGUUCAGCAGGGGGUCUCGGCAUCCCUUAGGGGGUCCACAGUGGCACUGUGGGGUGUCUGCCAAUUAUUGUUUAAUCUCAAACUAAUUUUUGUGAAAAGAAGACAAUAUAUGUUAAAAAAAAUAGAAUAAUAAAAAUAGAAUAUGAAGAACA
ensembl:lncRNA